CUCGUAGGCGGUUUGUCACGUCAGGAGUGAAAACUCGGGGCUCAACCCCGAGCCUGCUUCUGAUACGGGCAGACUAGAGGUAUGCAGGGGAGAACGGAAUUCCUGGUGUAGCGGUGAAAUGCGCAGAUAUCAGGAGGAACACCGGUGGCGAAGGCGGUUCUCUGGGCAUUACCUGACGCUGAGGAGCGAAAGUGUGGGGAGCGAACA
rnacentral:rRNA from 1 species